GUCUAUGGCCAUGCUACUCUGAACAAGCCCGAUCCUGUCUGAUCUUGGAAGCUAAGCAGUGUCGGACCUGGAUGGGAGACCACCCAGGAAGACCAGGUGCUGUAGGCG
rnacentral:rRNA from 1 species